AAUCUUGCGCAAUGGGCGAAAGCCUGACGCAGCCAUGCCGCGUGAAUGAUGAAGGUCNNNGGAUUNUAAAAUUCUUUCACCUGNGACNAUAAUGACGGUACCCGGAGAAGAAGCCCCGGCUAACUUCGUGCCAGCAGCCGCGGUAAUACGAAGGGGGCUAGCGUUGCUCGGAAUUACUGGGCGUAAAGGGCGCGUAGGCGGAUCGUUAAGUCAGGGGUGAAAUCCCGGGGCUCAACCUCGGAAUUGCCCUUGAUACUGGCGAUCUUGAGUAUGAGAGAGGUAUGUGGAACUCCGAGUGUAGAGGUGAAAUUCGUAGAUAUUCGGAAGAACACCAGUGGCGAAGGCGACAUACUGGCUCAUUACUGACGCUGAGGCGCGAAAGCGUGGGGAGCAAACAGG
rnacentral:rRNA from 1 species